AAUCAAUCAUUCUCGCAUCGACACAUGUCUCCUCACUCAAAUUCCUUGUAACAUAAUUAAUUUAUUGACACUAUAAUAAAAUUAGGUUAUAGGGACACAUAUUUGGGACACUUUUGUCUAAGUGUUCUAUUUAUGUCAAAAUUAAAAAAAAUAUCUACUAAUGCCUAAAAAUAAAGCUGAAUCCAACAAAAAAUAAAAGGUUACUAUAUUCAACCCACCCAACCCAGCCCAUUUGGCCCGAUUCUAAAUAGAAAAGAAAAAAAAAAAAAAAAAUCGAUUACCAUCUCCCUUUCUCCUCUCACUCAAUCCACUGAAAUUCUAGACGAAGGGGCCUUCCCUCUCGUCCUCCUCCGCCACCGCAGCCAACGAGAUAGAGUUUCGGCGGUUGCUAAAUGCUUAAAUAAGUGUUGGUAAAUUAGCAACACUUUUUUAAGUUAUAGCGACACUCUUUAACUAUCACUAUAUACCUAGCGACCCCACAUAUAGCAACACUUUUUAAAAGUGUCGGUAAUUUAGCCAGCAGCUCUUUUUGACCUAUACCAAUAUUUAAAAGUGUCGCUAUAGACCGUUUUUGUUGUAGUAUGAGCGCACCAAAUUUAUAUGUCAAAAUAAGUUAUCUAACAAUAAAUUACA
rnacentral:lncRNA from 1 species